rnacentral:misc_RNA from 1 species
GAUGAAGAACGUAGCGAAAUGCGAUAAGUAAUGUGAAUUGCAGAAUUCAGUGAAUCAUCGAAUCUUUGAACGCACAUUGCGCCCGCCAGUAUUCUGGCGGGCAUGCCUGUUCGAGCGUCAUUUCAACCCUCAAGCCCAGCUUGGUGUUGGGGAUCGGCACAGGCGCCCUCGGGCGCCCGCCGUCCCCUAAAUCUAGUGGCGGUCCCGCUGCAGCCUCCUCUGCGUAGUAGUUUUCUCCUCGCAAGGGCAGCUCGGUGGCGACCUCGCCGUAAAACCCCCAUAUUCUGAAAGGUUGACCUCGAAUCAGGUAGGAAUACCCGCUGAACUUAAGCAUAUCAAUAAGCGGAGGA